ensembl:lncRNA
AAUUAUUGGCAAUUUCUUUCAUCUAGAUUUGAAGAACAUCACCCAAUCCUUAACCAGUUUCUCAAAAGUGAAUGGCUCUGUGUUCACUCUGUACUUUGGCAUGAAGCCCAUUGUGAUAUUGCAUGGAUAUGAAGCAAUAAAAUAAGGCUUGAUUGAUCACAGAGAGGAGUUUACUGAAAGAGGAAGCUUCCCAGUAGCUGAAAAAAUUAAUAAAGGCCUUGGUAAGUGUACAUGUUUAUGAGUGAUCUGGGUAGCAUUCACAAAGAGGAAGAAGAUAGACAGCAAAGGCCAGACUUGAUCCUGGGGCUCAGACUAUGCCUCUCUAGGGUUGUGUCUUCGCCAAUGCUCUCCUUCUUCCUGGGAUCACAUUGUACUUUCUAUUCCCAUUUGUUCAGGAAUUGCUUUUAGCCAUGGAAAUAGAUGGAAAGAAAUAAGACGCUUUACACUCAUGACCUUGCAGAAUUUGGGCAUGGGGAAAAAAGCAUUGAGGACUGUGUUCAAGAGGAAUCAUGGUGCCUUGUGGAGGAACUGAGGAAAACCAAAUGGUGAUCAUACUUUCCUGUUCUGACUUUUCCAUCCUGAUACAGGCUCACCCUGUGACCCUACCUUCAUCUUGGGCUGUGCCCCUUGCAAUGUCAUCUGCUCCAUUAUUUUCCAGAAUUCUUUUGAUUAUAAAGAUCAAGAUUUUCUUAGCUUGAUGGAAAAGCUCAAUGAGAACAUCAAGAUUGUGAGCAGUCCCUGGAUAUAGGUGAAGAAAAUUCAUCUCCUCCUGAAAGCAAAGUUAUGAUUAUUCUUUUUCACAGAUCAAAUUGAAAGACCCCCAGACUUGGGGAGACUCUCGCUCCAGUCACGGGUUGGGGUACCCCCAGGAAACACGAGAAGCCGGUCUUGAUGUAAUCAGCAAGAGGCAGUUUUAUUUAUGAGAUCUCGGGCUGACACGUAUCUCACACAGGAGAUUGAGUCAAGCCCCAAGCCUCUCUAGGCAGGAGCUUAUAUAGGGAAAACCAGGGGUUUCAUGUUUAUACACAUAAUUGGCUAAUACAAAGGGUGCACAGUUAUUUUUUUUGCGCGGAAUUGUGUUAACAAAGCAUUCUAGUAUCUUAGCAAUAUGGGCAAGGUGGCUUAUCUCGCUCAGCAAAGAGAUGACUCAUAUUAGGGAGUGAAUGAAGGGAAGGGGAAGAGAAGGGAGGUAGCUCCAGGGGUAGCUCAAGAUGGCCAGUGUCCUUGGAGCCCUAUCUCAGAUUCUUUUAGGCAUAGCCAGACAUUGUUCAUGACUAACUUUUAGAAAUUUUAACCCUUCAAAAUUACACGUGGACUAACAAUGAUGUAAUGGUACCCAUGCCCUGCCUAGAGUAGUAUGAAUGGGACCUCUGGAAGAGAGGUCUAUGUCCUUCGCUAAACCAACAGAUGAACAAAACACAAAUGCCAAGAUAGCUCAAGCUGCUUAUCUUCCUAUGUGAUGUUAUUUUUAUUUGACACACAGAGAGGUUUUUCUACAAAUUAAUGCAUUGAUUUUUAGAAAGAUAUUCAGUCACUCAUAGAAGAACAUUCUUGAACUACUCACAAGUUCUUGUACUAUCAAUAAUUAAAACCUACCCAUUUAUGUAUUUGGCAAAAAUACCUUAGUGUAGACAGAAAAUAUUCUUCUAAAGAUAUUUUGGAUAAUGAUACAGGAAGCACUGAAACCACUGAAAUGUUUGCUGCUUUAUUUUGGAUCCUCCAUGACAAGGGAACAGGAAGAAAUGAUAAUAUGAAUGGUGGAUCACGAAUAUGUUCACAAUCUUUCCCUGUGAUGAAUUAGAUCUCCUGCUCUCUGCCUAUAUAGUAGUUAUGGACCACAAAGAAGUAAAUAAUGGUGUGCAAUUUUUGUCAAGGAAUCUUUAGAGGCCCACACAAUUCCAAAUUCUCACUUCAUGUCAGAGAUUGACUGAUUGAAAAGCUUUCUGCAGUAAAUUAUUUACCCUAUUUUCUUAGCAUGUACUAGCAUCCAAAGUGUAUGAAUUACAUUACUUCAUAUCAUAUGAAAUUUAAGAUUUAUAGGCAAAAUUGAAUUAUUACUGAAUGUGAAAAAAUUCCCUGUGAACCAGAAUUAUAUGGGCAGAAUUUUCUUCCUCAAUUUUUAUACUACAUAGAAUUUAUAUAUAAUUUUAUUAUGUAUAAAAUGGAGCAACUCUUCUUCAAGG